rnacentral:tRNA from 1 species
CAAGGUGCAGCUUAUACUAAAGUUGUUAUGAGUUACAAUUAAAUUAUUAAUAACGAAUAUUUUUUGA